rnacentral:rRNA from 1 species
UACGUAGGGUGCGAGCGUUGUCCGGAAUUAUUGGGCGUAAAGAGCUCGUAGGCGGCUCAUUGCGUCAACCGUGAAAACCAGCAGCUCAACUGUUGGCUUGCGGUUGAUACGGGUGGGCUGGAGUUCGGUAGGGGAGACUGGAAUUCCUGGUGUAGCGGUGAAAUGCGCAGAUAUCAGGAGGAACACCGGUGGCGAAGGCGGGUCUCUGAGCCGAUACUGACGCUGAGGAGCGAAAGCGUGGGGAGCGAACAGG